rnacentral:tRNA from 1 species
GGGACCGUGGGGUAGCGGUAUCCUUCCAGCCUUGGGUGCUGGUAACCCCGGUUCGAAUCCGGGCGGUCCCA